rnacentral:rRNA from 1 species
GUGGCGAGCGUUGUCCGGAUUUACUGGGCGUAAAGAGCGCGCAGGCGGCUGGUCAAGUCCGAUGUGAAAGCUCCCGGCUUAACUGGGAAAUUGCAUCGGAAACUGAUCGGCUGGAAGGUGGGAGAGGGUAGCGGAAUUCCCGGUGUAGUGGUGAAAUGCGUAGAUAUCGGGAGGAACACCAGUGGCGAAAGCGGCUACCUGGCCCAUUCUUGACGCUGAGGCGCGAAAGCUAGGGGAGCAAACGGGAUUAGAUACCCCGGUAGUCCUAGCCGUAAACGAUGAACACUAGGCGUAGUCGGUAUCGACCCCGGCUGUGCCGUAGCUAACGCAUUAAGUGUUCCGCCUGGGGAGUACGGCCGCAACGCUA